GAAUCCAGGAAUUGGAAGGAAGAGAAAACAGUUCUCUAUUCACGCUAGUUAACUAAUCAAUUCAAUAUGUAUUAACUGAGCACGCUACAUGCUAGGCACUCUUCUAAGUGCAGGGGAGACAGCAGUGAAGAAAGCAGACAAAGUCUCUGAACUCCUGUGUCUUCUAUUCAAAUGGGGAAGAUGAACAAUGAACAGAUAACAAUAAUAGAAGAAUGCGUGACCUAUCCAAUCCUUCCUCUCAUGGAAACACCAACUCAUCCAUGCCCUCUGUGCUGAAACUUCGUCUCAGCCUGCUGGAAUCACCUGCACCCCAUGGGAACUGUAGCCAUAUCUUCAGUCCUGUGAGCCCCCGUCAUGGCCUGUCACAGGAGUAAAUGAGGAGUAAGGCCCAGAAUACUCAGUACCUCUCAAUGACCCUCAGACGCUGUAGGAAGAGGAUUGGUUCACCUUUUAACCCAGAAUUUCUCACAUUGAAUGGACAGGAUGCAUUCCAAGAGGCCAGAGUAUUUGCAUCUCAGCUCCUGAUGGUUUCCACCACCACCAUUACUUUCUCUAUGUCAAGAUACCUGGGAAGCCGGAGACAGGCAGCCCACGCACUGCAGUGAUGAAAGGACUCUCCAACGAGGCAGACAGGAACCCCGCAGUUGGGAAUACAGAGCCUUCUCCUAUGGGAAGACCACAGGAAAAAGAAACACCCAAGGGGGAGGCAUGAGUCUUUGUGAAAGUUGUUUUAAGGCAGAGUAUCAUAUCGCAUCAAAACUGCUCCAUAAGUCCUGCCACUCCACGUGCAAUGCCAUGAACUUGAAGAAAUUGCUGGUAAGAGAAAGCAAAUGCUGUGACCAGGCAACUGCUGCAAACCAAUGGGCUUUGGGGAACUGUGCUUCCCUUCAGAAAGGAAAGAGUAUUUAACGAUGAAAAGGAAGGAAUGUGUCUUACUUAUACUUAGGGGCUUGUGGUUCAGCAGAGACCACACUGGACUGGACUGAACAGACAACUGAAGGGCUCUCUCUACCUUUCAGCAUCUCUGUCUGCCUUUCUGACUACCUAAAAAUUACUGCAACCUCUGAUUCUGUUUCUAAGGUGGAUUUUCCCUACUCAUGCUUCCUAGAGAUUUGGUGAGGAUUUGUUGAGUCAUGGGACAUUUCAGCUUGCCAAGGCUCCUUUGCUGGCUGACUUUCUACUAAUUCUGCAGCUGGAUGCAGCAGAAGAGGAUGGAAGGCAGAAGGAAGGGAAAAGUGGCUUCCUUCCCGAUUACUGCCAGUCCUGUCAGUGUUGCCCAAGACUGCCAAUUUGUUCCACCAGCAGCAGUUUCUUCGGACUUCUGCCUCAGUGUUUUCCAGCAGUCCCAAUGAGAGGUGACAACGCGCUAGCAGCCCUCACUUACUCUUGGCCUCUCCUGGGCCUCGGCGUCCACUCUGGCUGUGCUUGAGGAGCCCUUCAGCCCGCCGCUGCACUGUGGGAGCCCCUCUCUGGGCUGGCUGAGGCCGGAGCCAGCUCCCUCUGCUUGCAGGGAGAAGAAUCUUGGUCAUCCAGAAAGCUUGCUAUAGCUGCCCAGCAUUUGCCUCCUCCACAAAGAAGGACCAAAAGAACAAGUAGACAAUCACAUGCCAAAUAAAAUGUCUAAAGGAGAGCACUGAAGCUCAGCAAAAACGUUACAAAGACCCUCUGAGGUGCAGAAACUCGGGAUGGCAGCACAAAGAGGCAAGCAAAGCAGCCAGUCAGGAUCAGCUCACAGUCAAGGGCGCCCCGCCUUGAGUAGGAAACGUAAGCAGGAGAUGCCCUGCAGGCAACAUUCCCACCACAAAUGCCUGCAAGCCUAGCUGUAGGAGAGCCUCGCAGUGUUGAGCCCAGUGCGGGAGCUGCCUGGAGUCUCUGUGACUACAUUACUCCAGAGAGGCCACUGGGUCCCUCCUUAGUCCCUGGGACCCAAGCUGCUGCAGCACAGUAUCAUUUUGAGGACAGAGCCACUGCCAGAAUGCUUCCUGUCCUGGGGCCUGGUAACCCCUGCAUGUCCUCAUCACUGGAGCCCCAAUAUCAUUCCACAGUUGUAUGAGGAGUAAAAAUAACUAUAAAUAAAGAUAACUCAAGAAUUCUAUAAGCAAGCAUACACAUGAAAUUCAUUUUAUAAGAGGAAAGCUAACUCCAUCUCUCUUGAAAUAUGGAAUAGGUUCUUGAAGCAAUUCUAAAUGCUGAUCUGCUGGAAUGAUGGCUUCAUUGCACAAGAAUUCUGCUUAGUUCAUUGAAGUCUCCUUGAAGAAGUCAGUCUGAGAAUGGGGGAAUUCCAUUGUUGGUCAGAAGAAUUCUUUGGUCACUAUUGGAAGUGGGUUCAGUUUAGGGUGACUAUUGAUCAACAGGAUUCAUGGGUUUGCUAAAACUCAUUUCAGGCAAGCUUUGGAAGUGCAGUUCGCUUGGUGCUUAGGGGGUUAAAAACAGGAGGAAGAGAAUUUCACAUUAUUGGAGGGCCUGAAAGGAAACUGAUUCCCGCAAGAUGCUCAGACAAGAUCAAACCCAGCCCCUUUUCUGGUUUGGAAUUUCUCUGGGCUAUAAAGGUAGAAGAAAAGGCCCUGCAUGGGCCCACUCUAAGUGCUUGGAGGUUUUAGAUAAUUUUAUUAAAUUGUAGCAAUCUUAAACAGAACUACAAGGUUGCUUUUAAAACCAGAUCUCAGAUUUCUUUGAGCUAACAAAUGGUAAAAUGUAUCUUUAGUAUUAGAGUGAGAUAAAGGUAGUUAUAACUUUUUUUUUUUACUUAUUUUAUGUUAACGUAUGCAACAAAGGGUACAAAUUGUAGGUACGCAGCUCAUUUAAUUUUUAUGUCUGCACAUGCCUAUGAAACCAACACCCAGAGUAAGAUGUGGAUAAUUUUCUGCUCCCCUGAAAAUUCCCUUGUGCCUUUUCCUCAUCAGUACCUCCAAAGGUAACCACUAUUUUGAUUUCCAUUACCAUAGAUGAGUUAUACUUGUUUUUGAAAAGAUUAUUUGAAAUGUGUAAUAUAAAUAAUAGCAGUUGCUUAUCUUACAGAAAUAUCACUGAGAAUUCAUUUCUUCUCUCCUUCAUUUAUUCAUUUGUUCAAAACACUGUCUAGUACCAACAUUGUCCACUGGGCAUUGAGAAUACAAUAUUGAAGAAGAGUCACUGCCUGCCCUCUGGAAAAAUCAGAGUAUUUGAAAGAAUACACACAAGUAAACAGGCAGCUAUGGCAAAGUGGGUAAAAGCUGCAAAACAGGGAAGUUUCGCCAAGUGUCAGAUGCCAAGAAGUGUCAGAUGCCAAGAAGAAAGGGUGCACGACAUAGACUUGGGGGGGGUCAGUAGUGGUUUCUGGAACGAGUGACAUUUAGACUGAAACUGGAAGGAUAUGAGUAAGGGCUAAUCGGACCAAGAUGAAGAGAUACAGAAGCAGAAGGAACAGUAGGAACAAAUGCGCAGAGGCAAAAGAAAGCUUUGAAUAUUUGAGGAACUGAAAAGCAAAACAACAAAAAAUAGCCAUCCCUUGACUAGACAAGUGACCUGGGGUCAGAUCCUGAAGGGCUUUGCAGAUCACUUUUCCGCUUGUAGACUUUGUACUUGACUUUAAGGGCCAUGGAGAGCCACUGAAGCAUUUUCAGCAAGGGACUGUCAUCAGCAGAUUGGUAUUUGUUUUGAAGUAGCACAUGUAAGAGAAAAUAACAAUAUGGACAAAUAAAGAGUUUGAAAAAC
rnacentral:lncRNA from 1 species